GGAGCAGAUCUUAUUCCAGAAGUCGCUCAAGGUCUGAUAAGCGGGUUCGGUCAUCCAUGAGGUCAAGUCAUAGUCGAUCAGGGCGGUCUGUUACACAUUCUAGGUCACUGUCUCGUUCUCGAUCCAGAUACAGGACAAGGUCAAGAACCAGAUCAAACUCUAGGUUUAGUUCAGAAACCCCACCACGAUCCAGGAAAAGAAAUGAGUUGAGAUCCCCUCGAAAGUCAAAGCCUACAGAGGGUGGUGUUUCCAAAUUGGACAAGCCUGUCCCUAAAUCAGUUCAAGGUGAAGAACCGAAAGCCCAACCUGCAGCAUCUUCAGAGAGUGCUUCUGUGUUGCCUUUAAGUGACAGUCCACCUCCUUCUCGAUGGAAACCAGGCCAAAAACCCUGGAAACCCUCUUACGUCCGCAUUCAAGAAAUCAAAGUAAAAUCAGCCCCAGCUUCAAAAGCACUAAUCAGCCCAUCAUCAAAUGUACCUGUGGAAACAAUUUCCUCUCUAAAGCCAGACACGGCUGUUAGUCAAAGCGACCCCAGCAGCAGUAACAAUAAUGUUUCUGAUAUACUCCUGCAAAGCAGUUUGUCCAGGAGCAGGUCACCUAGUCAAUCACGAAGUAGCAGUAAAUCACAGAGUCAAUACGGCAGCAGAUCUUCAUCCUGCAGUAGGUCAGAAUCAUAUGACUCAUACAAAGGAAGAUCCCCUGAAAAAAAGAGAAAAUAUCGUAGAUCUCACAGAAAUAGCCAAAAGAGGGACAAGAAUGCAAAUCAAGGUAGUGGCCAUAAAGAUUCAUCUCCCUUCUCAGAGGACAUACCAGAUAAUCCAUACAGUGCUAUCCACGGACACAAUGACUCCUUGGUUCAGAGAAACACACUGAAAAACACAAAUCCCAAUCAAAGGAAAGAACCAUUAGUGGACAACAAUAAUGCAUCUGGAUGGGAAAGUGAAGGAGAGAACUCAAGUAAGACUAAUACUGCCAUGGAACACAACCAACUCCCUUUUAGGCAAGAAGGGCUUACUGAAAUGAAAAAGAGACAAAUUUUGUAUCGUUGCUGGGAGUCUGAGAGUGACUCUAAAAUGCCAGACAAAAAGCUAGUUAGUGAUGCCAAACAUGUGUC
ensembl:lncRNA